AUGAAAUUAAAUCCCUCUAUAUCCAAUGGCAAUUGUUCCAACCUUACCUUCACACAUCCAAAUCCAAUUGCAUGAACUACCUUAGAAAGCUCCCUUUACGCUGUUCUCCCGGUUCACGCGCACCAGGUUAUUACGUUGAGAAAUCUCAUAUGAGGUGGCCUACAAGAUGCUGACAAGAAAUUUUGAAUGCACAAUUCCACGACAAGGCCUUAAGAACCACUUAGCCAACCCUUGGGUCAAGAUUGAUUAUGAAUCCUCAUGGUUGUCAAUACUACAUCAGAGGAACAAUCCAACAUAGCUAUUGAAGCUUCAGUCUGGGAUCUAUGAGGUGCCUGUUCGUACUACAAAGUUUUCUAGAAACUCUCUACUCCAGACCAAAAA